rnacentral:lncRNA from 1 species
UCCUGAUCGUGAAAUUUUUGCGAGUUUGACAUGCUGUUGUAACGAGAAAUUUGAGAAAGAAAAAGGUGCUGUUGCCACUCAGCUUGUGGGUGAGAGGGUGCAAAUUAUUAUAAAUGAAGUGGCAGACUUGGGUCUUGGCACCCAUCUUCAAUGUCUAGAGCACAUUGGCGAGGACUUUCAACCUCUAAUGGGUGAACUGGAGAAUGAACCUUAUUCAGUUGUUGGAGAUGCCGUUCUCAAGGACUACAUAUAUUUGUUCACCUAGAUAAGAAUGAAGACAAAUCAAUCUGCUCAUAGAUUAAAUCCUCUGGACCCCGAACUGUGACGGUUACCAAAAUGGGAGCAGCUGAAAGGGCAUCAUAUCAAGAACUUGAGGGCAUCAUAUCAAGAACUUGAGGCGCCAUGUCAACUAGUACAGUAAAGGCAGCUCAACACAACAAAUUCUGGUGCAUUCUCCCCACUUCACUAUGCAACAAAGAAAGUCUAAGUUUGAAGUAGCUUGGUUCAUGAGAGCAAGCUCGGUAGUUUUUGUUUUCCUUGAAAGACUUUAAUCUGAAGUACACUUUUAUAGCUAGGUUUUCUGAAGGUAUGUAACUUGUUUGCCUUCCAGCUAGUCUUGGUUUGAAGUAGCAGCUACAUGUGCACAUCGAACUACAUGUAGUUGUAAUGGAAUUAAAGCUUAAUGGGAUUCAUAUAACAUAUGCAUGUGAUGUC